UAGGACUUCUGCCAGCUGAAGAUACAAGAAGUCUUCAACCCAAAGAGGGCUCUCAUCUGACCACACUGGCACCCUGAUCUUGAACUCCUAGAAAUAACUGGGAAAUAUGAACACACUCCCCCACUACCACAAAUUAUGCGGUCAAGUUUCCCACAUUUGGGGGAACUGCAGAGGUCACUGUUGGAAACAGAAAACGAUGAGGUGCACAAAAUGACCUCAGGUGUGGCCACGAAGUCCCAGGUGAACAGUGAUGCACUGAGAUGUUGUGUAACUCCUCUUUAGUACAAUGGACACUUUCAUGUUUCACUUAAUCAGGCAUUACUGGAACGCCAAUGUCAGCUCUGCGUCACUGCUUGCAAAUGGAGAGUAUCCUUCUUAGAAGAAAACUCUCAAAGAACAGGAUUACUGCUUAAUUAUAUAGCAUAAAAGAUUCAGUAUCUAACAAUGAAACCAUUAUUAUGCUUUGCAAGUUCAAAGAGUCAUGUAUUCUGAGAAGAGGCUAUUAAUGUUUUAAGGAAAUUCAUCCUCGUUGGUACCAAAGGGAAUGGCUCUUUCAAACUUAAUGUCUAAAGUGAAACUUGUAAUGAUUUUAAAAACGCACUUCAUGAAAUUAAAAAAAAAUGUUUAAUUAAGAAGUUCAGAAAGUAUGGAUUUACUCAAAUCUAUUAACAGAUCUAUUAAUCUUAAACAGUCAAGAGAUAAAGUGUACAUAAAACAAACUGAAUGUUGAUUGUAAUUACCUCCUUUUGUCCCUGACUUGCAAUACAAAGGGAGUAAGAGGUGCUAAUUAAGUUUCCUUGUUAUCUGAAUAAGUGACAUUAACUUAUUUCUAAAAUUGUGGUUCAAAGCGUUUGUAGUUCUUGGAUUAAAGAGAACAGAUGCUGCUGAAAUGAACAGUAUUUCAUAGGAGAGCUUUUUUUAAAUUUCCCUUUUGUCUAUCCAAUAAUUACAAACAACCAAUCUCAAAAUUGUACUUAUUUCAUUUUUUUACACCUCUGCUUAAUCCUUCUACCUGACUCUCUUCUUCUGUUCCCCAUAAUUCAAACUCUAUUUUUGAAAACCCUACACAAUACUCAAAUUGAAAUAUUCUUCCCUGCCACUCUACUUUAUAUUAAGUUUCCCACUCUUCAGUUUCUUUGCAUACGACCUGACAUUUUACUAUUUUUCCACAAAAUGCCUUUAUUUCUUACAUGAAUGUUGUAUUUUUCUUAUGUUAAUGUCUUAGCAUGAAACCCAGGAAAAAAAGAAGGUGGUAAACCACCAACCACUUACUGAUGCAAUGGAAGCUAUAUUUUUGGAAUUAAAAAUACUCCCUAAGCUACACUCCCAAUACUCCUAAUUAAUAGUUAGUUAAGCCCUUAUAAUAUUAGUUAGAGCUAUUUUCACUUACAGUUAAAAGCACAGUAGUAAUGAAAUAUUUUUCAGUUUUUCAGUUUUUGAAUAAUGAAGAACAAUAAGACAUACCUAAGUACAGAUCAGUAUAGACACUCCAAUUAUCUGCUAAGUAUUUCCUAUCAUUUUUUUUGCAUUCAACUGUUAAGAUCUUAGGUUUCUUAUGAAUAGGGAUGAAAUUAAGCUAACUAAUGAAAAGGGGGCAAACUAUUCAAGAAAAAACAAUUUUUAAAUGUUAUGUAUUUUCAUUUUCCCUGUAGUCAUUAAAGUAUUAAAGUCAAUAAAGGUUUCUCAGACCCUACCAUAUGUACUGAAUGAGAAACUGAGCCUAAGGCCCCAGCAAUCUGUAAUUUAACUUGCUCUCUAGCUCUCUAGGUGAUACUGAUACAAGCCAAAACUUGAGGACUUCUGACCUACUUUAUACUGACUAAUGCAACUCUCAACUGCAG